rnacentral:rRNA from 1 species
CKUGCAMGUCGAGSGGAGAGAGGAGCUUGCUCCUCGAUUCAGCGGCGGACGGGUGAGUAAUGCCUAGGAAUCUGCCUAGUAGUGGGGGACAACGUUUCGAAAGGAACGCUAAUACCGCAUACGUCCUACGGGAGAAAGUGGGGGAUCUUCGGACCUCACGCUAUUAGAUGAGCCUAGGUCGGAUUAGCUAGUUGGUAGGGUAAAGGCCUACCAAGGCGACGAUCCGUAACUGGUCUGAGAGGAUGAUCAGUCMCACUGGAACUGAGACACGGUCCAGACUCCUACGGGAGGCAGCAGUGGGGAAUAUUGGACAAUGGGCGAAAGCCUGAUCCAGCCAUGCCGCGUGUGUGAAGAAGGCCUUCSGGUCGUAAAMCACUUUAAGUUGGGAGGAAGGGYUCAUAGCGAAUACCUGUGAGUUUU